rnacentral:rRNA from 1 species
GAAUUCACUAGUGAUUGAGUUUGAUCAUGGCUCAGAUUGAACGCUGGCGGCAUGCUUUACACAUGCAAGUCGAACGGUAACAGGGAGCUUGCUCCGCUGACGAGUGGCGAACGGGUGAGUAAUGCAUCGGAACGUGCCUAUUUGUGGGGGAUAACGUAGCGAAAGUUACGCUAAUACCGCAUACGCCCUGAGGGGGAAAGCGGGGGAUUCGUAAGAACCUCGCGCAAUUAGAGCGGCCGAUGUCGGAUUAGCUAGUUGGUGGGGUAAAGGCUCACCAAGGCGACGAUCCGUAGCGGGUCUGAGAGGAUGAUCCGCCACACUGGGACUGAGACACGGCCCAGACUCCUACGGGAGGCAGCAGCGGGGAAUUUUGGACAAUGGGCGAAAGCCUGAUCCAGCCAUGCCGCGUGAGUGAAGAAGGCCUUCGGGUUGUAAAGCUCUUUCAGCCGGAAAGAAAUCGCGCAGGCUAAUACUCUGCGUGGAUGACGGUACCGGAAGAAGAAGCACCGGCUAACUACGUGCCAGCAGCGCGCGGUAAUACGUAGGGUGCGAGCGUUAAUCGGAAUUACUGGGCGUAAAGCGUGCGCAGGCGGUUAUAUAAGACAGAUGUGAAAUCCCCGGGCUCAACCUGGGAACUGCGUUUGUGACUGUAUGACUAGAGUACGGCAGAGGGAGGUGGAAUUCC